UGGUGUAUAGAAAGCCACUUAUUGUAUAAU
rnacentral:piRNA from 1 species